rnacentral:rRNA from 1 species
UGGCUCAGAACGAACGCUGGCGGCAGGCUUAACACAUGCAAGUCGAGCGCCCCGCAAGGGGAGCGGCAGACGGGUGAGUAACGCGUGGGAAUCUACCCAUCUCUACGGAACAACUCCGGGAAACUGGAGCUAAUACCGUAUACGUCCUUCGGGAGAAAGAUUUAUCGGAGAUGGAUGAGCCCGCGUUGGAUUAGCUAGUUGGUGGGGUAAUGGCCUACCAAGGCGACGAUCCAUAGCUGGUCUGAGAGGAUGAUCAGCCACACUGGGACUGAGACACGGCCCAGACUCCUACGGGAGGCAGCAGUGGGGAAUAUUGGACAAUGGGCGAAAGCCUGAUCCAGCCAUGCCGCGUGAGUGAUGAAGGCCCUAGGGUUGUAAAGCUCUUCAACG